rnacentral:rRNA from 1 species
GUGGGGAAUAUUGGACAAUGGGCGCAAGCCUGAUCCAGCAAUGCCGCGUGAGUGAUGAAGGCCUUAGGGUUGUAAAGCUCUUUCGGCGGGGACGAUGAUGACGGUACCCGCAGAAGAAGCCCCGGCUAACUCCGUGCCAGCAGCCGCGGUAAUACGGAGGGGGCUAGCGUUGUUCGGAAUUACUGGGCGUAAAGGGCGCGCAGGCGGCUGCUCAAGUCAGGCGUGAAAGGCCUGGGCUCAACCCGGGAAUUGCGCUUGAGACUGAGCUGGCUUGAGGACGGGAGAGGAUGGUGGAAUUCCCAGUGUAGAGGUGAAAUUCGUAGAUAUUGGGAAGAACACCGGUGGCGAAGGCGGCCAUCUGGACCGUUACUGACGCUGAGGCGCGAAAGCGUGGGGAGCAAACAGGAUUAGAAACCCGGGUAGUCC